GUCACGGGCAUGGACUUCAACUCCUGCUGCUUGGGAGCAAGAAAGGAUGCUGGCAAGGUUCGAUUCACCUGCACU
rnacentral:tRNA from 1 species